rnacentral:tRNA from 1 species
GGAGAGGUGACCGAGAGGCCGAUGGUGCUCGACUGCUAAGCGGGUGUCGUGUCACAGCGACCGAGGGUUCGAAUCCCUCCCUCUCCGCCA